rnacentral:rRNA from 1 species
UAACGACUCUCGGCAACGGAUAUCUCGGCUCUCGCAUCGAUGAAGAACGUAGCGAAAUGCGAUACUUGGUGUGAAUUGCAGAAUCCCGCGAAUCAUCGAGUCUUUGAACGCAAGUUGCGCCUGAAGCCACCUGGCCAAGGGCACGUCUGCCUGGGUGUCACGCA